rnacentral:rRNA from 1 species
AGAGUUUGAUCCUGGCUCAGGAUGAACGCUAGCGGCAGGCCUAAUACAUGCAAGUCGAGCGGGGUAGCAAUACUUAGCGGCGCACGGGUGCGUAACGCGUAUGCAACCUACCUUUUACUGGGGGAUAGCCCGGAGAAAUUCGGAUUAAUACCGCAUAAGACCACGGAACGGCAUCGUUAAGUGGUUAAACCUACGGGGGUAAAAGAUGGGCAUGCGUUCAAUUAGUUAGUUGGCGGGGUAACGGCUCACCAAGACUACGAUUGAUAGGGGUUCUGAGAGGAAUGUCCCCCACACUGGUACUGAGAUACGGACCAGACUCCUACGGGAGGCAGCAGUAGGGAAUAUUGGGCAAUGGUCGGAAGACUGACCCAGCCAUGCCGCGUGCAGGAAGAAGGGGCUCUGCCCUGUAAACUGCUUUUGUAUGGGAAUAAAAAGUGCUUGCGAGCGCAACUGAAGGUACCAUGCGAAUAAGCACCGGCUAACUACGUGCCAGCAGCCGCGGUAAUUC